CGCGCGUUCUUGCAUCAACAAUUUUCUUCUAAUUUUCUUAAAGUUGAAGUAAGGUUUCCAAGAUUGCAAAUCAUUUCAAUGAAUCUGGAACAGAAAACCAAAUCCAAGAAAAUGACCACAGAACAAGUGAAGGAACUGAUUGCAGCUCGUGUGCAUUUCAAUAACCUUUUCACCAGGAAAUUUUUCGAUAAAAAAGCGGCCUGGAGGACUAUACAAGACCAUACGGGACUGUUCGAAUUUACAGUGGAGCAGCUUAAAAUAAAAUGGGCUAACUUGACCAGGAAGUACAAGGUAUUAUGAAAUUAUCCAUCAAUCCUCCGAUUGUUAUCAACAGCUGUGGAAUUG